UGGGGGGGUGCUUUACACAUGCAGUCGAACGGGAUCCAUCAGGCUUUGCUUGGUGGUGAGAGUGGCGAACGGGUGAGUAAUGCGUGACCGACCUGCCCCAUACACCGGAAUAGCUCCUGGAAACGGGUGGUAAUGCCGGAUGCUCCGACUCCUCGCAUGGGGUGUCGGGAAAGAUUUCAUCGGUAUGGGAUGGGGUCGCGUCCUAUCAGGUAGUCGGCGGGGUAACGGCCCACCGAGCCUACGACGGGUAGCCGGCCUGAGAGGGCGACCGGCCACAUUGGGACUGAGAUACGGCCCAGACUCCUACGGGAGGCAGCAGUGGGGAAUAUUGCACAAUGGGCGCAAGCCUGAUGCAGCGACGCCGCGUGCGGGAUGACGGCCUUCGGGUUGUAAACCGCUUUUGAUCGGGAGCAAGCCUUCGGGUGAGUGUACCUUUCGAAUAAGCACCGGCUAACUACGUGCCAGCAGCCGCGGUAAUACGUAGGGUGCAAGCGUUAUCCGGAAUUAUUGGGCGUAAAGGGCUCGUAGGCGGUUCGUCGCGUCCGGUGUGAAAGUCCAUCGCUUAACGGUGGAUCUGCGCCGGGUACGGGCGGGCUGGAGUGCGGUAGGGGAGACUGGAAUUCCCGGUGUAACGGUGGAAUGUGUAGAUAUCGGGAAGAACACCAAUGGCGAAGGCAGGUCUCUGGGCCGUUACUGACGCUGAGGAGCGAAAGCGUGGGGAGCGAACAGGAUUAGAUACCCUGGUAGUCCACGCCGUAAACGGUGGAUGCUGGAUGUGGGGCCCGUUCCACGGGUUCCGUGUCGGAGCUAACGCGUUAAGCAUCCCGCCUGGGGAGUACGGCCGCAAGGCUAAAACUCAAAGAAAUUGACGGGGGCCCGCACAAGCGGCGGAGCAUGCGGAUUAAUUCGAUGCAACGCGAAGAACCUUACCUGGGCUUGACAUGUUCCCGACAGCCGUAGAGAUAUGGCCUCCCUUCGGGGCGGGUUCACAGGUGGUGCAUGGUCGUCGUCAGCUCGUGUCGUGAGAUGUUGGGUUAAGUCCCGCAACGAGCGCAACCCUCGCCCUGUGUUGCCAGCACGUCAUGGUGGGAACUCACGGGGGACCGCCGGGGUCAACUCGGAGGAAGGUGGGGAUGACGUCAGAUCAUCAUGCCCCUUACGUCCAGGGCUUCACGCAUGCUACAAUGGCCGGUACAACGGGAUGCGACACGGCGACGUGGAGCGGAUCCCUGAAAACCGGUCUCAGUUCGGAUUGGAGUCUGCAACCCGACUCCAUGAAGGCGGAGUCGCUAGUAAUCGCGGAUCAGCAACGCCGCGGUGAAUGCGUUCCCGGGCCUUGUACACACCGCCCGUCAAGUCGAUGAAAGUGGGUAGCACCCGAAGCCGGUGGCCUAACCCUUUGUGGAUGGAGCCGUCUAAAAGGAAGACCCCGG
rnacentral:rRNA from 1 species